rnacentral:rRNA from 1 species
AGUGAACGCUGGCGGUAGGCCUAACACAUGCAAGUCGAACGGCAGCACAGUAAGAGCUUGCUCUUACGGGUGGCGAGUGGCGGACGGGUGAGGAAUACAUCGGAAUCUACUUUUUCGUGGGGGAUAACGUAGGGAAACUUACGCUAAUGCCGCAUACGACCUACGGGUGAAAGCAGGGGAUCUUCGGACCUUGCGCGAUUGAAUGAGCCGAUGUCGGAUUAGCUAGUUGGCGGGGUAAAGGCCCACCAAGGCGACGAUCCGUAGCUGGUCUGAGAGGAUGAUCAGCCACACUGGAACUGAGACACGGUCCAGACUCCUACGGGAGGCAGCAGUGGGGAAUAUUGGACAAUGGGCGCAAGCCUGAUCCAGCCGUACCGCGUGGGUGAAGAAGGCCUUCGGGUUGUAAAGCCCUUUUGUUGGGAAAGAAAAGCAGCAGGUUAAUACCCCGCUGUUCUGACGGUACCCAAAGAAUAAGCACCGGCUAACUUCGUG